GUGCUUGGUGGCCCAUGUCCACAGGCUCUGUGGUCAUGUGUGGAGUCUCUGGGCUGCCACCUGGGCUGCGGGUCUGUCAGGGACACCGUGGCUGCACUGACUGUGAGCGGGAGCCAACUCCAGCUCCCACCUGGUGGAGAUGUGUCUGCCUUGCUUUUUGCUUGGCAUAUGGUGCUCUGUGAGGGAUGGGACUGGCAAGACAUCACGAGUCCCCCAGGAUGGUGAGGCAGCUUCCUGCACCUGGGGAAGCCACUCGCCAUUAAUGGAUGGCCAGGAGAGACAGGCACCUCGAAUCAAGCCUUGGCACUGGAGGUGGAGAUGGAAUCACAUGCUCCUUUUCACGCUGAUGCUGACAUGGACGGAUGGGGAGAGAGCCAGGCAUGGAUUGGCAGUUCCCCGCUGCAUGGCACCCUGGAGACCCAGAGGCCUCACAGGGACACAGAAGGCCCUUCACAGAGGACAAGGACAUGUGGCCAAAAACAUCAGUCCAUGGUGCUUUCCAUUGGAGCCUCCCCUACCCCCAGUCCCUGAAGGAGGACCACUAGGCACCUCAGGAUGUCCAGGAAACUUAGCACCAGAGCCACCGUCUGGAGGAUGAGAGAUCCCAGGACGAGCGCUGUGACAGUGGGCGCGGACAAAGCCAUGCACAUGGAGGGCCCUGCUGGGCUCACCUGGGCUCAGCAUGGGAUUUCUGGAGGAGGUGGUGCCUUGGCCCAGUGUCCAUGGUGUGUAAGGGUGGGGUGCAGGGAAGAGCAGUCCACACAGAGCAGACAUCGUGAGCAGGCCGUGCGGUGUCUGUAAGGCUGGGGGCAGUGGGCAGGAGCCUGGCAACACUGUGUGUGGCUCUCAGGGUCUGGAAUGGGAAAGUUCCUUCCUACCUUCCUUCCUUCCUUCCUUCCUUCCUUCCUUCCUUCCUUCCUUCCUUCCUUCUUUCCUUCUUUUCUUUCUUUUGUGGUACUGGGAAUUGAACCCAGGACCUUUCAUGGAGGUACAACACAGGAAUCUGGGGGAACACAAUGCAAAACACUGGCAAUUUGUGCUUUGUUUCUUUGGGAGGAAAGAUGAAUUAGCUGGCUUGUUGGCUCCUUCACUUCUGGUGGCUAAAUAUUGUCAUUCACUUUUAAAUGAGCUGGUGAUUCUUUGGGGGUCUUGCAGAAGGCUGGGGAGGAGGGGCUCUUUGGGGAGAGCUUUGUCAUUUUGGAAGGAGUAUGAGUUUUCAGAGAUGCUAACCUGUGGACCGUGCUGCUUCCAUGCAGCAGGUCCAUGGGGCAGAGCUUCUCUGGCAAUGCUGCAUGGCCCCUCACACCCCCACCUGUGAUGUUCAGUAACUCUGCUGCCUCUGAUGGCCUCACCUAUCACCUCAGCUGUGCAAACACCAUGGCACAGCUUCAUGCAACUCACUGCAUGCUGGUUUGUGGGAGAACCCACUGAAGCCCCCCACCUGGGUCUUCAUAGGUAAGUGUCCCCCAGUAUUCUGCCUUCCAUUUUGGGCCCAGAGUUAUCAUCAUAAAUCUGCAUCUUGUGCUGCCAGGGCCCUGACUUGGCCCCACCAAACACAGGCCCUG
ensembl:lincRNA